rnacentral:lncRNA from 1 species
UUCAGUGGGGAGGGUAUUUACCUAUGGAACUCACGCAAGCCUUAAAACCUAGGAAUGAUUGUUGUGUGACUUGCUUGUGCUUGUUAUUUAUCUAACAACAUGACAUCAUAACAACAUAACAUCAUAACAUCAUGGCAUUGUACUAACCAUUUCAAGGAUUUAGGGAUUUAACUCUGCUAAAAAAAAAAAAAAAAAAACAAAAACAAAAGCAAAAACAAAAGAGAAAAGAAAAAAAAAAGCUCUUUUUGUUAGUUUAUGCAAAGUUAAAUCCCGAAAGUCCUUGAAAACAUUUCAUACAUUGCAUUGCAUCGCAUAACAGGUAUUCUAAAGGAUCAGUGUUC